GUACUCACUUCGGCAGCCCAUAUACUAAAAUUGGAACAAUAUAGAGUUAGCCUGGGCCCUGCGCAAGGAUGACACUCAAAUUCGUGAAGCGUUCCAUAUCUUU
rnacentral:snRNA from 1 species